AGUGAACGCUGGCGGUAGGCCUAACACAUGCAAGUCGAACGGCAGCACAGUAAGAGCUUGCUCUUACGGGUGGCGAGUGGCGGACGGGUGAGGAAUACAUCGGAAUCUACUUUUUCGUGGGGGAUAACGUAGGGAAACUUACGCUAAUACCGCAUACGACCUACGGGUGAAAGCAGGGGAUCUUCGGACCUUGCGCGAUUGAAUGAGCCGAUGUCGGAUUAGCUAGUUGGCGGGGUAAAGGCCCACCAAGGCGACGAUCCGUAGCUGGUCUGAGAGGAUGAUCAGCCACACUGGAACUUAGACACGGUCCAGACUCCUACGGGAGGCAGCAGUGGGGAAUAUUGGACAAUGGGCGCAAGCCUGGUCCAGCCAUACCGCGUGGGUGAAGAAGGCCUUCGGGUUGUAAAGCCCUUUUGUUGGGAAAGAAAAGCAGCAGGUUAAUACCCCGCUGUUCUGACGGUACCCAAAGAAUAAGCACCGGCUAACUUCGUG
rnacentral:rRNA from 1 species